GUUGAAAUGGCUUUCCCUCCAGAGUGGAUCCUGAGUACGGCGGAACACGUGAAAUUCCGUCGGAAUCCGGGAGGACCAUCUCCCAAGGCUAAAUACUCCCUAGUGACCGAUAGUGAACCAGUACCGUGAGGGAAAGGUGAAAAGCACCCCGGAAGGGGAGUGAAACAGUUCCUGAAACCGUGUGCCUACAAGUAGUUAGAGCCCGUUAAUGGGUGAUAGCGUGCCUUUUGUAGAAUGAACCGGCGAGUUACGAUUUGUUGCAAGGUUAAGCGGAAAAAGCGGAGCCGUAGCGAAAGCGAGUCUGAAUAGGGCGCAUAAGUAACAGGUCGUAGACCCGAAACCAGGUGAUCUACCCAUGUCCAGGAUGAAGGUAAGGUAAUACUUACUGGAGGUCCGAACCCACGCACGUUGAAAAGUGCGGGGAUGAGGUGUGGGUAGCGGAGAAAUUCCAAUCGAACUUGGAGAUAGCUGGUUCUCUCCGAAAUAGCUUUAGGGCUAGCCUCGAGGUAAAGAGUCAUGGAGGUAGAGCACUGUUUGGACUAGGGGCCCUUCUCGGGUUACCGAAUUCAGAUAAACUCCGAAUGCCAUGUACUUAUACUCGGGAGUCAGACUGCGAGUGAUAAGAUCCGUAGUCGAAAGGGAAACAGCC
rnacentral:rRNA from 1 species